rnacentral:lncRNA from 1 species
ACUGGGGAGUGCUCUAACACUGGGAAACAGAUGAGAUCAUCAUUUUCUCUCCAGUGAGAGAAUAUCAGCUGUAGAAGAUUCCAUAGAUAAUAUGGACACAACAAUCAAAGAAAAUGCAAAAUGCAAAAAGAUCCUAACUCAAAACAUUCAGGAAAUCCAGGACACAAUGAAAAGAACAAACCUAAGCAUAAUAGGUGAAUGAAGAUUUUCACCUUAAAGGACCAGUAAAUAUCUUCAACAAAAUUCUAGAAAAAAAUUUCCCUAACCUAAAGAAAGAGAUUCUCAUGAACAUAUAAGAAGCCUACAGAACUCCAAAUAGUUUGCACUGGAAGAAAAAUUCUUCCCAUCACAUAAUAAUCAAAAUACAAAAUGCACACAACAAAGAAAGAAUAUUAAAAGCAGUAAGGGAAAAAGGUCAAGUAAGAUAUGAAGGCAGACCUAUUAUAAUUAUACCAGACUUCUCACCGGAGACUAUAAAAGCCAGAAGAUCCUGGACAGAUGUCAUAUAUACCCUAAGAGAAUACAAAUGCCAGCCCAGGCUACUAUACUCAGCAAAACUCUCAAUUACCAUAGAUGGAGAAACCAAAAUAUUCCAUGACAAAACCAAAUUUACACAGUAUCUUUACAUGAAUCCAGCCCAUCAAAGGAUAAUAAAGGGAAACUACAGCACAAGGAGGGAAACUACAACCU